rnacentral:rRNA from 1 species
UACGGGGGGGGCAAGCGUUGUUCGGAAUUACUGGGCGUAAAGGGCUCGUAGGUUGCCAACUAAGUCAGACGUGAAAUCCCUCGGCUUAACCGGGGAACUGCGUCUGAUACUGGAUGGCUUGAAUCCGGGAGAGGGAUGCAGAAUUCCAGGUGUAGCGGUGAAAUGCGUAGAUAUCUGGAGGAAUACCGGUGGCGAAGGCGGCAUCCUGGACCGGCAUUGACGCUGAUGAGCGAAAGCUAGGGGAGCAAACGGG